UUAUGGUGCUAUAUUCUUUAU
rnacentral:siRNA from 1 species